rnacentral:rRNA from 1 species
AUGUGUGCAAUGAAGAAGAAGGGAGGUAUGGGAUUUAGAGACCUUCAUAGCUUUAACCUUGCUAUGUUAGCAAAGCAGUGUUGGUGACUGAUCCAGAAUCCCGACUCUUUGUGUGCAUGUGUUCUAAGUGCAAAACACUGUCCUGAUGGUAAUGUUCUGAGAGCUGGCCCAAAUAAAGGGUCCUCGUUUACAUGGCAAAGUUUGGUUGCUGGGAUACAAACUUUCAAGAGGGUAUGUAUUUGGCAAGUGGGCAUUGGUUCAAAUAUUAACAUUUGGGAUGACCCAUUGAUCCCAUCAAGUCCAACAAGGAAGAUUAUCACCCCUAGAGGUGGAAUCAUGUUGUCAAAGGUGCAAGAGAUAAUUGACCCGCAUACGGGUCAGUGGGAUGAAGGACUAAUUCAGAGCGUGUUCUCGCCAGUUGAUGUACGCGGAAUAUUACAAAUUCAACUACAUGUUGAAGCACUAGAGGAUUUUGUGGCAUGUCACUAUACAAAGUCUGGAACCUUCUCAGUACGCUCCACGUAUCACUUAGAAUUUGACCAUCAGUUCGGUCGCCACUCUGCAAAUUCAAACAGUCCAGGGAGUGCUCAACUUAGCAGGGUUUGGAAGGAGAUAUGGCAUCUUUGGUUUACUUGCGGGCAGACCCAUACCCUUGAUCCUACAAUGCCCGAUAUGCAAAAUUGGUUUGGAGGACAUUCAACAUUUUUUGUUCACAUGUGA